UACAGAGGGGGCAAGCGUUGUCCGGAUUUACUGGGCGUACAGCGCGCGCAGGCGGUUGCGUAUGUGAGCGGUGACAUACGCGGGCUCAACCCGCGGCGGCCCGCUUACACAGCGCGACUGGAGGCAGGGAGAGGGAUGUGGAAUACCCGGUGGAGCGGUGAAAUGCGUAGAGAUCGGGUGGAACACCAGCGGCGAAGGCGGCAUCCUGGCCCUGUACUGACGCUGAGGCGCGAUAGCGUGGGGAGCAAACGGG
rnacentral:rRNA from 1 species